CCCUUAGACGUUCUGGGCCGCACGCGCGCUACACUGACGAAGGCAACGAGCUUUCCUUUACCGAAAGGUACGGGUAAUCUUUGAAUCUGCAUCGUGACGGGGAUAGAUUAUUGCAAUUAUUAAUCUUCAACGAGGAAUGCCUAGUAGGCGCAAGUCAUCAGCUUGCGUCGAUUACGUCCCUGCCCUUUGUACACACCGCCCGUCGCUCCUACCGAUUGGGUGUGCUGGUGAAAUGUUCGGAUCGGCCGUUUGUCGCGGUUUCCGCGUCAUGUGGCUGAGAAGUUCAUUAAACCCUCCCACCUAGAGGAAGGAGAAGUCGUAACA
rnacentral:rRNA from 1 species